rnacentral:rRNA from 1 species
CAGCCGCGGUAAUCCAGCUCCAAUAGCGUAUAUUAAAGUUGUUGCAGUUAAAAAGCUCGUAGUUGAAUUUCAGGCCUGGCUGGACGGUCCGCCCUUCGGGUGAGUACUGUCUGUGGUCGGGUCCUACCUUCUGGCGAAGCGUCAUGGCCUUAACCGGCCGUGGCGGGGAACCAGGACUUUUACUGUGAAAAAAUUAGAGUGUUCAAAGCAGGCAAUCGCUUGGAUACAUUAGCAUGGAAUAAUGGAAUAGGACAAUGGUUCUAUUUGUUGGUUUCUAGGACCGUUGUAAUGAUUAAUAGGGAUAGUUGGGGGCAUUAGUAUUCAAUUGUCAGAGGUGAAAUUCUUGGAUUUAUUGAAGACUAACUACUGCGAAAGCAUUUGCCAAGGAUGUUUUCAUUAAUCAAGAACGAAAGUUAGGGGAUCGAAGACGAUCAGAUACCGUCGUAGUCUUAACCAUAAACUAUGCCGACUAGGAAUCGGGCGAUGUUGAAAAAAUGACGCGCUCGGCACCUCAUG